rnacentral:rRNA from 1 species
GAUGAACGCUGGCGGCGUGCCUAAUACAUGCAAGUCGAGCGAACAGACGAGGAGCUUGCUCCUCUGACGUUAGCGACGGACGGGUGAGUAACACGUGGAUAACCUACCUAUAAGACGGGGAUAACUUCGGGAAACCGGAGCUAAUACCGGAUAAUAUAUUGAACCGCAUGGUUCAAUAGUGAGAGGCGGUUUUGCUGUCACUUAUAGAUGGAUCCGCGCUGCAGUAGCUAGUUGGUAAGGUAACGGCUUACCAAGGCGACGAUGCGUAGCCGACCUGAGAGGGUGAUCGGCCACACUGGAACUGCGACACGGUCCAGACUCCUACGGGAGGCAGCAGUAGGGAAUCUUCCGCAAUGGGCGAAAGCCUGACGGAGCACCGCCGCGUGAGUGAUGAAGGUCUUCGGAUCGUAAAACUCUGUUAUUAGGGAAGAACAAAUGUGUAAGUAACUAUGCACGUCUUGACGGUACCUAAUCAGAAAGCCACGGCUAACUACGUG